UACGAAGGGGGCAAGCGUUGUUCGGAUUUACUGGGCGUAAAGGGCGCGCAGGCGGCUCUUCAAGUCAGAUGUGAAAGCCCCGGGCUCAACCUGGGAACUGCAUUUGAGACUGAAGAACUCGAGUUCGGGAGAGGAUGGCGGAAUUCCCAGUGUAGAGGUGAAAUUCGUAGAUAUUGGGAAGAACACCGGUGGCGAAGGCGGCCAUCUGGACCGAGACUGACGCUGAGGCGCGAAAGCGUGGGGAGCGAUCCGG
rnacentral:rRNA from 1 species